rnacentral:lncRNA from 1 species
AGAUGACUUUUAUAAACCUGUGUUCACACCCAAGCUGCUGGAGUGGACCUGGAAGCAAUUAUAGACCGAAAUGUGUGCAGGCAAAGAGGCGUUUGCUCUGACAUCCUUCCUCUAAGGAUUGUGUUUCAGUAGCUAAUAUGCGGCCUUGUGGGAAUCUCUUCUGCUUCCUCCCCAACUUUUAGAAACACUACUGUCUUGAUUUUCAAGCAUACACACAUCAUUUUAAAUGCACGAAGGAAAUUUCUGUGGCACCUCUUUUUAAAUGGCUGCCUUUUGUUCCAAGGGUUUAGAGCACUUAAAAGGUAGGAUCCUGUUCUUAAGCUGAAGAAGCGAUGCCAGGAUCAGGGAAGCUGGGACCUGGAGAGGCGCCAACUUACUUGUUCCACAAGGCGGACUGAGGGGGAAAGUGGGAUUAGACACCAGCUGCCGGUUCUUUCACCAACGCCCUGUCCGUGUGCUCCAGGCUCAGGUCCACUAACGAUAAACGACAGUGGCUUCUACGGAAGACAGUGGACUUCUUGAGCCAAAGACUCCUAGUAUUCCCUCUUGCACUAGCACCCUGCGUGGUGUUUUUACCUCCUAACUUUACCAUGAUUACGAUUAAAAAUGCAUGUGCUGUUUUGGGGGCUAUGGAGUAACCUGUCGCAGACCAGCACUUCUGUCCAGCAAAGCAGGCAAGGUCCCAUUAAAUGUAGAGAUCUCUGUUUGGAGGCACUGGAGAGCUGCUGGGGCAGCAGGACCCAAGCCGCUCACACUGGAGUGAGUGGAUCCUCAGGGAGGAAGCUGACCAGCAGCUGCCCCCAGGACAUUCGCCCAUUCUGGGUCGUGGCAGAAGGUGGGCGUCUGGGGACAGAGAUACCAGAGAAUUUCUCAGAGACAUGGGGGGCCUCCAUCACAUGGUUGGAUUUCCCUUCAGGCAUUUCCUGAGUUGGGGGUAUAUGAGGAGUGGAGACUGAAAAAGAGAAGCAGCGAGCCUCGGAAAAUCAUCUCAGCGUUUUCAGCAGUCUCGCAAGAGGCGUUGAGGACCUGCCGAGGGGAGGGGCAAGGUGAAGACACAGGUCUCCCCGGGGAGGCAAGGAUGGACCAUUACCCGGCCUCACACCACACCAGAAGUUCAACUGAGAUGGAUCGAGACCUAAAUGCAAAAGGUAAAACAAUAAAACUUGUAAAAGAAAACAGAAAAAGAUCUUCCUGACCUUUUUUUUUUUCCCACUUGAAAAAUGUAAUACUCCACUUUGCUUCAAAAACACUU